rnacentral:rRNA from 1 species
UGGGGAAUAUUGCACAAUGGGCGCAAGCCUGAUGCAGCCAUGCCGCGUGUGUGAAGAAGGCCUUCGGGUUGUAAAGCACUUUCAGCGGGGAGGAAGGCGAUAAGGUUAAUAACCUUGUCGAUUGACGUUACCCGCAGAAGAAGCACCGGCUAACUCCGUGCCAGCAGCCGCGGUAAUACGGAGGGUGCAAGCGUUAAUCGGAAUUACUGGGCGUAAAGCGCACGCAGGCGGUCUGUCAAGUCGGAUGUGAAAUCCCCGGGCUCAACCUGGGAACUGCAUCUGAUACUGGCAAGCUUGAGUCUCGUAGAGGGGGGUAGAAUUCCAGGUGUAGCGGUGACAUGCGUAGAGAUCUGGAGGAAUACCGGUGGCGAAGGCGGCCCCCUGGACGAAGACUGACGCUCAGGUGCGAAAGCGUGGGGAGCAAACAGG